AGGGAGCGAGGGCAGCGUGCGCGUGCGCGUGCGCGGGGGGAGCGAGUCUGUAGCUGGGACCCGACGGGCGCGUUGUUGUUUGGCUGAGGCCGGGUGUGGGGGCGGGUCUGUCUCUGGCCAGGCCCGGGGAGGGGGCUCGGGCCGUGCCCAGAGCCGGGUCUGUGUUGGGCUGAGCCCCAGUGGCCGGGGCUGUGUCUGGCUAGGCUCGCUAUGGGCCCAGGCCAGGCCACUGUGACGUACCAGCAAGCUGCUCUGCAGCCGCAGGGAUUGGAGCUAGAUCGCUCCCAGAGAAGAUGGCAACUCUCUGCCUCGGAAACUGGAGACUAUGGCUGCAUCCACGCUGUACGCUCAUUGGUGGUGGCGUGUAGGAUGUUUAGAAUUGAUGACACUGCUCAUUCACACAUGACUAACAUAGAAGAUUCCUCAAGAACAAACUACUCCACCCAGCUCCACUAGUAAGGACAUGUGUCACUGCACUGCUGCUGAAGUGCCAUAAAAAGCAGCCAUUGUGAUAUCUCCCAGGAUUGGCCUGUGUCCCAUUUACACAGGAGUAGUGAUGACAUCACAAAUUAGGGAUGACAGGAGGCGUAAUGUCAUAAGGGGAGGGAUUUAUCAUUUCAUUUUAGCAGCAGGAAAGGAGUGACAUCACAAUAGAAGCUACUGAAAUCACAGCAUGAGGGAGAAUCUUGAUAUGGCAUGAUAUCCCAGAAACAAAGGGUUGGAAGGUGUUGUGGAACGUCACAGCAGCAGUGAGAGGCAGUUCAGAGAAGGAAGAAAGUCUCAGCUCAGUUGCUCCAGGGCUGGGUUCUCACGCUGCAGCUUAACAAUGAUGGUUUUUACUUUUCCUAUGAUUCUUUGUAAUCAUCCCCACCUAUUCUGCAAAAUUUUGCAUUUAGAUUUUGUAAACCUUUGAAACAUUCCUUUCCAUCCCUUCUCUUUCCUGGCCUUCUUCCCAAGCUACUGGUAUGCCAGGCUUUUGUGACUGGUAUUCCUCUCUCCAAACCCUACCCAGUGUUGACAAUUCUCACAAUAAUUAGUGUUGAAUGAAUACAUGAGAAUCUCAGCUUUCAUUUGAAGGGGAAGAAAUACCUUUGUAUCCCUCACAGUUGUGGAGAAAAGGCUGACAAUGUUACCCUAAUGGAAAAGGCUCAGAAAUCAGAAGGGGAGGGGAAAGAACUCCAGAUAAUUUUUAAACUCAUUAUUUUUAAGCCAGUCUCAUGAUUUUUAAGCCCAACUUGUGAGUUUUGAACAUUGGUUGUUGACAAUACUGCUUGUCAAGUAUCAGAGGGGUAGCUGUGUUAGUCUGGAUCUGUAAAAGCAGCAGAACAGUGCUGGAUCUGUAAAAGCAGCACCCACGAAAGCUCAUGCUCCAAUACGUCUAUUAGUCUGUAAGGUGCCACGGGACUCAAUACUGCUUGUGUUAUAUAGGAGCGGCAUUGUGGGCUAGUGGAUAAAGCUUAGGACUCUGGCGACCUGAGUCCUAGUCCCAUCUUGGCCCCUGGGUGACCAUGGGCAAGUCAGUUGCCUGCUCUGUGCUCAGUUUCCCCAUCUAUAAAAUAGGGAUAAUGAUACUAAUCACCUUUGUAAAGUGCUUUGAGAUCUAUUGAUGAAAAGCAGUGUAUGAGAACAUUGGUGGUCACGGUGGUGCGUGGGCGGGGGGCAAUUGAAUGAGUUGGCAGUCAGGGAAGUUUCUAGGGCAGCUGCAGCUGGCAUUAUGUUCUUACUUUGUUGCUACCUCCGUUCUCCCUGCCAGUUUAUUCUGAUUGUGAAGCAGGAGAGCAACAGGUACCAUCUUUGGCAACAGGGAAGAGGAAUUCCUGCUGUCCAUGUGUAGCUCUGCUGGACACAUGACAUCACAGGGAUGCAUGUCACAGGGCUGUGAGAUUUGUCCAGUGAGAUGCCCAGCACUUGCAUACUGUUACUUUUAGUUGGACCCUCCACCCCCUUAAAUACAUUAGAGU